GACGAACGCUGGCGGCGUGCUUAACACAUGCAAGUCGAACGGAGAGGCCCUGCUUUUGUGGGGUGCUCGAGUGGCGAACGGGUGAGUAACACGUGAGUAACCUGCCCUUGACUUUGGGAUAACUUCAGGAAACUGGGGCUAAUACCGGAUAGGAGCUCCUGCUGCAUGGUGGGGGUUGGAAAGUUUCGGCGGUUGGGGAUGGACUCGCGGCUUAUCAGCUUGUUGGUGGGGUAGUGGCUUACCAAGGCUUUGACGGGUAGCCGGCCUGAGAGGGUGACCGGCCACAUUGGGACUGAGAUACGGCCCAGACUCCUACGGGAGGCAGCAGGGGGGAAUAUUGCACAAUGGGCGGAAGCCUGAUGCAGCAACGCCGCGUGCGGGAUGACGGCCUUCGGGUUGUAAACCGCUUUCGCCUGUGACGAAGCGUGAGUGACGGUAAUGGGUAAAGAAGCACCGGCUAACUACGUG
rnacentral:rRNA from 1 species